rnacentral:rRNA from 1 species
UAGGGAAUAUUGGUCAAUGGAUGGAAGUCUGAACCAGCCAUGCCGCGUGCAGGAAGAAGGCCUUCUGGGUUGUAAACUGCUUUUGCCAGGGGAUAAAAAGUCCCUGCGGGGAAAAUUGAAGGUACCUGGUGAAUAAGCCACGGCUAACUACGUGCCAGCAGCCGCGGUAAUACGUAGGUGGCGAGCGUUGUCCGGAUUUAUUGGGUUUAAAGGGUGCGUAGGCGGCUUUGUAAGUCAGUGGUGAAAUACUCUAGCUUAACUAGAGGGGUGCCAUUGAUACUGCGGAGCUUGAGUACAGAUGAGGUAGGCGGAAUUGACGGUGUAGCGGUGAAAUGCAUAGAUAUCGUCAAGAACACCGAUAGCGAAGGCAGCUUACUGGGCUGUAACUGACGCUGAGGCACGAAAGUGUGGGGAUCAAACA